AACGAACGCUGGCGGCGUGCCUAACACAUGCAAGUCGAACGAGAAAGGGGCUUCGGCUCCGAGUAAAGUGGCGCACGGGUGAGUAACACGUAGGUAACCUGCCUCUAAGAUUGGGAUAACUUGUCGAAAGAUGAGCUAAUACCAAAUAAGACCACGGUUUCCUCGGGGACGAGGGGUCAAAGGUAGCCUCUAUUUAUAAGCUAUCGCUGAGAGAUGGGCCUGCGUACCAUUAGCUAGUUGGGAGGUAACGGCUCACCAAGGCAAAGAUGGUUAGCUGGUCUGAGAGGAUGAUCAGCCACACUGGAACUGAGAC
rnacentral:rRNA from 1 species